GACGAACGCUGGCGGCGUGCUUAACACAUGCAAGUCGAACGGAAAGGCCCUGCUUUUGUGGGGUGCUCGAGUGGCGAACGGGUGAGUAACACGUGAGUAACCUGCCCUUGACUUUGGGAUAACUUCAGGAGACUGGGGCUAAUACCGGAUAGGAGCUCCUGCUGCAUGGUGGGGGUUGGAAAGUUUCGGCGGUUGGGGAUGGACUCGCGGCUUAUCAGCUUGUUGGUGGGGUAGUGGCCUACCAAGGCUUUGACGGGUAGCCGGCCUGAGAGGGUGACCGGCCACAUUGGGACUGAGAUACGGCCCAGACUCCUACGGGAGGCAGCAGUGGGGAAUAUUGCACAAUGGGCGGAAGCCUGAUGCAGCAACGCCGCGUGCGGGAUGACGGCCUUCGGGUUGUAAACCGCUUUCGCCUGUGACGAAGCGUGAGUGACGGUAAUGGGUAAAGAAGCACCGGCUAACUACGUG
rnacentral:rRNA from 1 species